UCUGUACUGUUUUAGCAGUGAAAAAGAAUACCCACAGACAAGGCACGGGUGGUGGGUCACCAAAGGCUGACCUUACCCCAGCAGAGGACAUGGCCUUGGAGCUAAAUAAAGGCAGGCCCGUCUUAGAGGGGAUCCCUGGGGGGAAAGAGACGAGCAUAGGUUCCUCCCAAGAUGCCACCCGCUUCAUUCAAGUGUCUGGCAGCACUGUGUUCCUGUUAGAGCCACCAGCACAAGCACCAGACGAUGCUGAUCCAGGUGAAGGCCCCAGUGCAACAGCACAUGAUGGAGACGAUGAUGAGGAGGAGACCAUCUCUCUG